rnacentral:lncRNA from 1 species
UACAUCGACUAAUACAUAUAGAUGUUCCUUAUUGCAAACACGACCACUGCGGUGCGCACGCAAACUCAAACACAAAGUUUUGAACCAAAGUAAAUAAAAGAAAAGCUUCCAAACUUGACAUCUUUUUUUUUGCGACAUCCAAACUUGAUAUCAAAAGAGCAAUUCUAUACUAAAUCUCUAACCGUGUCUUGCAAACACCUUCAUCCAUCGCGGUUGUCUCAAUAUUUCUGCAUCCCAUGUUUAUCAUUUGGAGCAGCAGAAACCACUUUUACAAUAAGUAUACAGUAUUCUUGCGCUCCCGCGCCGCGCUACAAACUAAAGUAUUUCUACUUACAAGUACCCGGCCCUAAAAAACUUCGUCAUCUCGUCUCGUAUCCAUCAUUUGGCUUUUUUAACAGCCACGAGAGUCCUCUGCGCGCGCAGGGUGACCCGGACAGUAGCGCGUCUGCCGGUGCCGGAGCCGCGGCAGCUGCGGCAGUCUGUGCGACCUGACCCAGUGCAUGUCCUGCACCCGACGUCACCGUCCGACCACCGGGAGCAGGGGCAUGCAACCUUCCCUGUGCCAGCGCACGUCGAGCAGCUUGGCCCCUGCGCGCCGCCGGCACCGGCUAGCGGUGGCCUCCACUCCGAGCACCUGUCGGCCGCCGCUACGCCGAUGAACGCGCCGACCCCGGCAGAUGCUACGGCGACGAUGAUGGGACCGACCAUCUUGUAAGAAUCUGAUGUACAAUGCAAGCUAGCUAAGAUCUCCAAAGAUCUCAGAAAAUUAAGAAGCCUAUCCUGGAGGAGUCCCUAGAAUGUUUUUUUCUUGAUGUAUGUAUGGGCUUGUAGCUAGAAUGUUUA